UGCUGUCUCAAAGAUUAAGACAGGCCAUGUCUAAGUAUAAGCAAUUAUACCGUGAAACUGCGAAUGGCUCAUUAAAUCAGUUAUCGUUUAUUUGAUAGUACCUUACUACUUGGAUAACCGUGGUAAUUCUAGAGCUAAUACAUGCUAAAAACCCCAACUUCGGGAGGGGUGUAUUUAUUAGAUAAAAAACCAAUGCCCUUCGGGGCUCCUUUGGUGAUUCAUGAUAACUUCUCAGAUCGCAUGGCUUUACGCCGGCGACGGUUCAUUCAAAUUUCUGCCCUAUCAACUUUCGAUGGUAAGGUAUUGGCUUACCAUGGUUUCAACGGGUAACGGGGAAUUAGGGUUCGAUUCCGGAGAGGGAGCCUGAGAAACGGCUACCACAUCCAAGGAAGGCAGCAGGCGCGCAAAUUACCCAAUUCCGAUACGGAGAGGUAGUGACAAUAAAUACUGAUACAGGGCUCUUUUGGGUCUUGUAAUUGGAAUGAGUACAAUUUAAACCUCUUAACGAGGAACAAUUGGAGGGCAAGUCUGGUGCCAGCAGCCGCGGUAAUUCCAGCUCCAAUAGCGUAUAUUAAAGUUGUUGCAGUUAAAAAGCUCGUAGUUGAACCUUUGGCCUGGCUGGCAGGUCCGCCUCACCGCGUGCACUUGUCCGGCCGGGCCUUUUCUUCUGGAGAACCGCAUGCCCUUCACUGGGUGUGUUGGGGACCAGGACUUUUACUUUGAAAAAAUUAGAGUGUUCAAAGCAGGCCUUUGCUCGAAUACGUUAGCAUGGAAUAAUAGAAUAGGACGUGCGGUCCUAUUUUGUUGGUUUCUAGGACCGCCGUAAUGAUUAAUAGGGACAGUCGGGGGCAUCAGUAUUCAAUUGUCAGAGGUGAAAUUCUUGGAUUUAUUGAAGACUAACUACUGCGAAAGCAUUUGCCAAGGAUGUUUUCAUUAAUCAGUGAACGAAAGUUAGGGGAUCGAAGACGAUCAGAUACCGUCGUAGUCUUAACCAUAAACUAUGCCGACUAGGGAUCGGGCGGUGUUUUCUAUUGUGACCCGCUCGGCACCUUACGAGAAAUCAAAGUGUUUGGGAUCUGGGGGGGAGUUAUGGUCCGCAAGGCUGAAACUUAAAGAAAAUUGACGGAAAAAA
rnacentral:rRNA from 1 species